AGUGAACGCUGGCGGUAGGCCUAACACAUGCAAGUCGAACGGCAGCACAGUAAGAGCUUGCUCUUACGGGUGGCGAGUGGCGGACGGGUGAGGAAUACAUCGGAAUCUACUUUUUCGUGGGGGAUAACGUAGGGAAACUUACGCUAAUACCGCAUACGACCUACGGGUGAAAGCAGGGGAUCUUCGGACCUUGCGCGAUUGAAUGAGCCGAUGUCGGAUUAGCUAGUUGGCGGGGUAAAGGCCCACCAAGGCGACGAUCCGUAGCUGGUCUGAGAGGAUGAUCGGCCAAGCUGGAACUGAGACACGGUCCAGAUUCCUAGGGGAGGCAGCAGUGGGAAAUAUGGGACAAAGGGCGCAAGCCUAGCCCAGCCAUACCGCGUGGGUGAAGAAGGCCUUCGGGUUGUAAAGCCCUUUUGUUGGAAAGAAAAGCAGCAGGUUAAUACCCCGCUGUUCUGACGGUACCCAAAGAAUAAGCACCGGCCAACUUCGUG
rnacentral:rRNA from 1 species